rnacentral:piRNA from 1 species
UACUAUAAGAUGGCUGUCACCCCAAG